CCCUUUGGGUGUGACUGCGUACCUUUUGUAUAAUGGGUCAGCGACUUAUAUUCUGUAGCAAGGUUAACCGAAUAGGGGAGCCGGAGGGAAACCGAGUCUUAACCGGGCGUUAAGUUGCAGGGUAUAGACCCGAAACCCGGUGAUCUAGCCAUGGGCAGGUUGAAGGUUGGGUAACACUAACUGGAGGACCGAACCGACUAAUGUUGAAAAAUUAGCGGAUGACCUGUGGCUGGGGGUGAAAGGCCAAUCAAACCGGGAGAUAGCUGGUUCUCCCCGAAAGCUAUUUAGGUAGCGCCUCGUGAAUUCAUCUCCGGGGGUAGAGCACUGUUUCGGCUAGGGGGCCAUCCCGGCUUACCAACCCGAUGCAAACUGCGAAUACCGGAGAAUGUUAUCACGGGAGACACACGGCGGGUGCUAACGUCCGUCGUGAAGAGGGAAACAACCCAGACCGCCAGCUAAGGUCCCAAAGUCAUGGUUAAGUGGGAAACGAUGUGGGAAGGCCCAGACAGCCAGGAUGUUGGCUUAGAAGCAGCCAUCAUUUAAAGAAAGCGUAAUAGCUCACUGGUCGAGUCGGCCUGCGCGGAAGAUGUAACGGGGCUAAACCAUGCACCGAAGCUGCGGCAGCGACACUGUGUGUUGUUGGGUAGGGGAGCGUUCUGUAAGCCUGUGAAGGUGUGUCGUGAGGCAUGCUGGAGGUAUCAGAAGUGCGAAUGCUGACAUAAGUAACGAUAAAGCGGGUGAAAAGCCCGCUCGCCGGAAGACCAAGGGUUCCUGUCCAACGUUAAUCGGGGCAGGGUGAGUCGACCCCUAAGGCGAGGCCGAAAGGCGUAGUCGAUGGGAAACGGGUUAAUAUUCCCGUACUUGGUGUUACUGCGAAGGGGGGACGGAGAAGGCUAUGUUGGCCGGGCGACGGUUGUCCCGGUUUAAGCGUGUAGGUGUGUGUUCCAGGUAAAUCCGGUUCACUUUAACACUGAGGCGUGACGACGAGGCACUACGGUGCUGAAGCAACAAAUGCCCUGCUUCCAGGAAAA
rnacentral:rRNA from 2 species